rnacentral:ncRNA from 1 species
GCACUGCAACGGCUUCCUGGCGCAGAGUUAUUUUAAACGGAGCA